GGUGGCUCAGUGGUAGAGUGCUUGCCUAGCAUGCAGGAGGUUCUGGGUUCGAUUCCUCAGCACCA
rnacentral:tRNA from 1 species